rnacentral:rRNA from 1 species
CCUACGGGCGGCAGCAGUGAGGAAUAUUGGUCAAUGGGCGGAAGCCUGAACCAGCCAAGUCGCGUGAGGGAUUAAGGCCCUGCGGGUCGUAAACCUCUUUUGCCGGGGAGCAGUGGUCCGGACGAGUCCGGGCCGGGAGAGUACCCGGAGAAAAAGCAUCGGCUAACUCCGUGCCAGCAGCCGCGGUAAUACGGAGGAUGCGAGCGUUAUCCGGAUUUAUUGGGUUUAAAGGGUGCGUAGGCGGGCAUUUAAGCCGGCGGUCAAAUGUCGGGGCUCAACCCCGGCCUGCCGUCGGAACUGGGUGCCUUGAGUGGGCGAGAAGUAUGCGGAAUGCGUGGUGUAGCGGUGAAAUGCAUAGAUAUCACGCAGAACCCCGAUUGCGAAGGCAGCAUACCGGCGCCCGACUGACGCUGAGGCACGAAAGUGCGGGUAUCGAACAGGAUUAGAUACCCCAGUAGUC